GGGGAAUUCUGGACAAUGGGCGCAAGCCUGAUCCAGCCAUGCCGCGUGUCUGAAGAAGGCCUUCGGGUUGUAAAGGACUUUUGUCAGGGAAGAAAAGGGCGGGGUUAAUACCCCUGUCUGAUGACGGUACCUGAAGAAUAAGCACCGGCUAACUACGUGCCAGCAGCCGCGGUAAUACGUAGGGUGCGAGCGUUAAUCGGAAUUACUGGGCGUAAAGCGGGCGCAGACGGUUACUUAAGCAGGAUGUGAAAUCCCCGGGCUCAACCUGGGAACUGCGUUCUGAACUGGGUGACUAGAGUGUGUCAGAGGGAGGUAGAAUUCCACGUGUAGCAGUGAAAUGCGUAGAGAUGUGGAGGAAUACCGAUGGCGAAGGCAGCCUCCUGGGAUAACACUGACGUUCAUGCCCGAAAGCGUGGGUAGCAAACAGGAUUAGAUACCCUGGUAGUCCACGCCCUAAACGAUGUCGAUUAGCUGUUGGGCAGCUUGACUGCUUAGUAGCGAAGCUAACGCGUGAAAUCGACCGCCUGGGGAGUACGGUCGCAAGAUUA
rnacentral:rRNA from 1 species